UCCCGCCUGUGUUUGGGGAGCAUCAGCUGGAUGGCCGCUUGGUUUGGGAACAUGUGCGAUGCUCAAGUUUCAGUGGAAAAUUGGGACUGGACUUCUUACCAAGGGGUCAGAAGUGUAAGUUGCUACAGCCUUCUCCACAGAAAGAACUCUUCUGAUACAGCCAUACGAACUUCAGAUUAAAGGGAAAUGAAUGCUAUACUUGAACCAUGUUCUGUUUGCAGAAAGCAUUUUUUUAUAUAUAUAUUUUUUCUUUUACUUUGACACUUCCACCUGCUAAUUUCGUCACUAAGAGUGAUGACUCUUGGUUUUGUAUCAUGAGAAGUAAUGUAAUUCUCUGUUU